rnacentral:rRNA from 1 species
GGGUCAGUAGGUUCGUCGUGCCACCGGUACGUACUGGUCUCACUGAUUCCUCCUUCCUGAAGAACCGUAAUGCCAUUAAUUUGGUGUUGCGGGGAAACAGGACUGUUACUUUGAAAAAAUUAGAGUGUUUAAAGCAAGCUAACGCAUGAAUACAUUAGCAUGGAAUAAUGAAAUAGGACGAUCGAUCCUAUUUUGUUGGUUUCUAGGAUUGACGUA